ensembl:lncRNA
AUGGAGAGGCUGCACACAGCCCAGACUCAGAAGAACCUCCUCCGCUACCAUUCCAUGUGGACAAGGAGGGGUCUGAGGACUCCAAGGAGCAGGAUGGCUAUGAUGACAUGGAGGCGAUGGAUGUGGGUGGAGACUAUGCUGGGACCGUGGAGAGCAGGGAUGCCCGAGCAGAGCCGCUGGUGGAGAACCAGAUCGAGACUCAGGAGGAAAUGGAUCACAUGCAGCCUGAUGCUGAGCAGUGACAGAGGUGAUUCUCGUAUUUUAAGAUGUCAUGCGUCACAGUCAUGGCACAAGACACGUGAUAAAACCACCAACUUCCUGAAUAAGCUGUGCAACUUCGACAACCUGCCGCUAAAGAAAACGCUGCUCUGCUUUAAUACUUCACUCGAAAUACUUGACGUAUUCCACAUAUAUGGUAUAUUUCCUUCCUUCCUUCCUUCAUGUUAUGAUAAAUUGUCCUGAACUGUUGGCUCUUGUAAUGUGAGCUGAGCGUUUGAUUGGUUCCCUGGUAGACAGAUAUGUGACCAUGAUUCGUUGUGCCUUUAGGCUGCCAGUUGUCCAGCAGUCAGCGUAACAACGGUUUUUUUAUAAAAAUGCAUGGAUUCUGUCAUAUUGCAGCAUUCUCAUUCUCAGUGUGUGCUUUUUUCCCCUUUUUCAAAGGAUUUUUAAAGCACCCAUGAUGUUUAAAUAUCCCUUGUCCUACAACGUCAUGAAACCUAGACACAGUGAUAUAUAAAAAAAAUCAUUUACAUUUACUGUCCCUGACAAAAGUCUUGUUGCUUGUGUACAAAUUGACUUCAAGUGCCGCUCAAAUAUAUAUCUUCUUUUUAUUUUUUAUUUUUUUUACAAGAAUUGGCUCAUUUUAUUCCCAACAGCUUUUGUAAUAAUGUUUCAGUGUAAAACCAAACUGUCAAAAGCUAUUCUAAUAUUAAAAGCUUGGUAAAGCCCAUGGAGUAAAUUUUUGCAAAGACAUAAGUGUUGUCGCCUUGUCAUAUGAGCUUUCUUUGCUAUUCCUGAUGACGUCAUCAAUACAUUGUAUGAAUCCUUGGCAAACUGCAUGGAUGCAGUCCUUCAAGCUCAUGGAAGUCAUACAAGAUAUUAAAUUUGGAUUUGCUGACAUAUUUAUGUAUUUGCAGUCAUUUGAUUCAAUUACUGUAUAGGCGGCAAAACUUUUGUCUUGCCAAAAUUUGACCUUUCUGUCUUGAUUAAAUUAUAAAUCUUUUUUCAGUGAAACUAAUUCAUUUAAGCGACUUUUGACUUUUGUCACGGAC